rnacentral:rRNA from 1 species
GACAGAGGGUGCAAACGUUGCUCGGAAUUACUGGGCGUAAAGGGCGCGUAGGCGGCCUGCUAAGUCGGAUGUGAAAUCCCUCGGCUCAACCGAGGAACUGCAUCCGAUACUGGCGGGCUUGAAUCCGGGAGAGGGAUGUGGAAUUCCAGGUGUAGCGGUGAAAUGCGUAGAUAUCUGGAGGAACACCGGUGGCGAAGGCGGCAUCCUGGACCGGUAUUGACGCUGAGGCGCGAAAGCUAGGGGAGCAAACGGG